rnacentral:rRNA from 1 species
GAUGAACGCUGGCGGCGUGCUUAACACAUGCAAGUCGAACGAGAACGGAAUAUAGCUUGCUAUAUUUGUCAGCUAAGUGGCGCACGGGUGAGUAAUGUAUAGAUAACCUGCCCUUAAGAAAGGAAUAACAGUUGGAAACGACCGCUAAUGCCCUAUAUGCCUUUAAUACAUAAGUAUGCAAGGGAAACGCUUUAGUGCUUAAGGAUGGGUCUGUAUGGUAUCAGCUUGUUGGUGAGGUAAUGGCUCACCAAGGCUAUGACGCCUAACUGGUUUGAGAGGAUGAUCAGUCACACUGGAACUGAGACACGGUCCAGACUCCUACGGGAGGCAGCAGUGGGGAAUAUUGCACAAUGGACGAAAGUCUGAUGCAGCAACGCCGCGUGGAGGAUGACACAUUUCGGUGCGUAAACUCCUUUUAUAUAGGAAGAUAAUGACGGUACUAUAUGAAUAAGCACCGGCUAACUCCGUGCCAGCAGCCGCCGCAG